GACGAACGCUGGCGGCGUGCUUAACACAUGCAAGUCGAACGGAAAGGCCCUGCUUUUGUGGGGUGCUCGAGUGGCGAACGGGUGAGUAACACGUGAGUAACCUGCCCUUGACUUUGGGAUAACUUCAGGAAACUGGGGCUAAUACCGGAUAGGAGCUCCUGCUGCAUGGUGGGGGUUGGAAAGUUUCGGCGGUUGGGGAUGGACUCGCGGCUUAUCAGCUUGUUGGUGGGGUAGUGGCUUACCAAGGCUUUGACGGGUAGCCGGCCUGAGAGGGUGACCGGCCACAUUGGUACUGCGGUACGGCCCCGACUCCUACGGGAGGCAGCAGUGGGGAAUAUUGCACAAUGGGCGGAAGCCUGCUGCAGCAGCGCCGCGUGCGGGAUGACGGCCUUCGGGUUGUAAACCGCUUUCGCCUGUGACGAAGCGUGAGUGACGGUAAUGGGUAAAGAAGCACCGGCUAACUACGUG
rnacentral:rRNA from 1 species